GGGUCAGUAGGUUGGUCGUGCCACCGGUACGUACUGGUCUCACUGAUUCCUCCUUCCUGAAGAACCGUAAUGCCAUUAAUUUGGUGUUGCGGGUAAACAGGACUGUUACUUUGAAAAAAUUAGAGUGUUUAAAGCAAGCUAACGCUUGAAUACAUUAGCAUGGAAUAAUGGAAUAGGACGAUCGAUCCUAUUUUGUUGGUUUCUAGGAUUGACGUA
rnacentral:rRNA from 1 species